CUUUUUGCACGUGCCUUUGUUUCCACAAAGACCCUUGGACAAUGAGUCCCGGUUCCCAACAUGGAGGCCCAGGGCUCCUCAGAGCACAGAAUUGGAAGCCAACCUCUGCCCUCACGCACCCCGAGAACCCUCCGCUUGCCCAGGCAGCACUCCGAAUGUUUCAAGCUCAUUGCCUCAUGAAGGAAGGGCCACAGACAAAUCCAGGAGAACAACCGUGAGUCUCGGAGGCACCCUUUCAAAGGUCAGGCGAAGGAAUAAAGGCAGGAGUGAGAUAUUAAUUUGAGGAUCAUAAGCAUAAGCUUCGCAUUCAGAGUCAACCAAGCACUAGCGACUUGAGACUGAGUCUCUAGGGGACAAGGGAAAACAAUGGCCAAGCAAAACGACGGAAAGAAAAGACUAUAUCCCGAAUGCAGGAACCAACCAAGCAGUCAACCAAGCAGCCAACGCCUCUUAUGCUGCCCCUCCCCCAUCUGCAGUCUGGACUUUCCAGUAGGUCUUAUUGAAAACUUAAGGGGACAGAGACCUCGAAGACAUUCUUACCAACGUAGGAUGGGUAAAUAGAAACUAAUCGUAUAAUGCCAUGGAUGCAUGGCAUUUUGUGUCUCUAUCUUAGGAAAGAACAGAGUGGAGAGAUGGUUCAGUGGUCAGGGGUGCUCGC